UACGGGGGGGGCAAGCGUUGUUCGGAAUUACUGGGCGUAAAGGGCUCGUAGGUGGCCAACUAAGUCAUACGUGAAAUCCCUCGGCUUAACCGGGGAACUGCGUCUGAUACUGGAUGGCUUGAGGUUGGGAGAGGGAUGCGGAAUUCCAGGUGUAGCGGUGAAAUGCGUAGAUAUCUGGAGGAACACCGGUGGCGAAGGCAGCCCCCUGGGAUGUGACUGACGCUCAUGUACCAAAGCGUGGGGAGCAAACAGG
rnacentral:rRNA from 1 species